ensembl:rRNA 5S_rRNA 5S ribosomal RNA
GUCUCAGGCCGUAUCAGCCUGAAGGCGCCCGAUCUCGUCUGAUCUCGGAAGCUAAGCAGGUCGGGCCUGGUUAGGAUCUUGGAUGGGAGACCACCUGGGAAUCCCGGGUGCUCGAGGCU